UAUAGUUUAUACACAGUGUCUGUCACUUUCUUUCACUACUUUUUAUGUAGAUGGCUUUUAUGCUCUGAGUGAAGUUGGAUUCAGUAAUGAGUUUAGAUGUAUGAAUAGUUUUUCCCUGGCGGGAAUGGAGCACUUUGCAAAUUAAUUGCUGAGACCACAGGGAUAUCCUGUAGCUGAACAGUCAUGAAGCACUUAACCAUUUUGUUUACAACUUCCACUCAUUUAAAUCAUGUAUUAUGACUGGCUUUGAUUAGUGUUUUCCCCAUCUCUAUUUUAAUUGCCAUUGUUUUCAACUUGGCUUACCAAAGACAAUUGUACUUGAGAAAGAUGUAUUAAAGCUGUAAAAAUUGUUAUACUGUUAAAAUUUGUUUAUGAAUUAGAAUACUUGUUUACAAUUUGUGUUGUCAAUCACUUACAUGUCUGUGAUCUCUUCUGCUUCUCUGUCUUCAUUUUAUAUGGUAGGUAAGACAGGGAUACUCAUUAUUGAUUGGCCAGAACCGGUGACACUAAUAGUCACUGAAUAAGAAUCCCAUCUUAAUUAUUACUGACGGAAAAAACAAAAGGUCUACUAAACAAACAUCAUACUGUGAUCAUGCAAUGUUGUUUUAAGUACAGAUUUUGCUGUUCCUGUUACACUAUAGUUGGUUUCUACAUGUAUCCGUCUCUGAAGAAUUUCAUUUACAUUACAAGAAUUGUAACAAAUUGCAUGAAACAGACUUUGUACUAAAUCUUUAAAAUGUAAUACAUAUAAUGUUGUUUAGUUACUUAUUUAAUUUACAAAUAUUAAAUUAUCUCAUGAAGUAAAUAUUAAUAGUUUUCUUCAUGUGUACUUACUCUUUCCUCAGUUAAA
rnacentral:lncRNA from 1 species